rnacentral:rRNA from 1 species
GAUGAACGCUGGCGGCGUGCCUAAUACAUGCAAGUCGAGCGAAUGGAUUAAGAGCUUGCUCUUAUGAAGUUAGCGGCGGACGGGUGAGUAACACGUGGGUAACCUGCCCAUAAGACUGGGAUAACUCCGGGAAACCGGGGCUAAUACCGGAUAACAUUUUGAACCGCAUGGUUCGAAAUUGAAAGGCGGCUUCGGCUGUCACUUAUGGAUGGACCCGCGUCGCAUUAGCUAGUUGGUGAGGUAACGGCUCACCAAGGCAACGAUGCGUAGCCGACCUGAGAGGGUGAGCGGCCACACUGGGACUGGGACACGGCCCAGACUCCGACGGGAGGCAGCAGUAGGGAAUCUUCCGCAAGGGACGAAAGUCUGACGGAGCAACGCCGCGUGAGUGAUGAAGGCUUUCGGGUCGUAAAACUCUGUUGUUAGGGAAGAACAAGUGCUAGUUGAAUAAGCUGGCACCUUGACGGUACCUAACCAGAAAGCCACGGCUAACUACGUGCCAGCCGCCGCUGUAA